UGAGGAAUAUUGGGCAAUGGGCGAGAGCCUGACCCAGCAACGCCGCGUGGAGGAAGACGGCCUUCGGGUUGUAAACUCCUUUUGACGGGGAAGAGAGAGGACGGUACCCGUCGAAUAAGUCACGGCUAACUACGUGCCAGCAGCCGCGGUAAUACGUAGGUGACAAGCGUUAUCCGGAAUUACUGGGCGUAAAGCGCACGCAGGCGGCUGAUUAAGUCUGACGUGAAAUCUCCUGGCUUAACUGGGAGGGGUCGUUGGAAACUGAUUGGCUUGAGGUGGUGAGAGGGGUGUAGAAUUCCCGGUGUAGUGGUGGAAUGCGUAGAUAUCGGGAGGAAUACCAGUGGCGAAAGCGGCACCCUGGCACUGACCUGACGCUCAUGUGCGAAAGCGUGGGUAGCAAACGGG
rnacentral:rRNA from 1 species